rnacentral:rRNA from 1 species
GAUGAACGCUGGCGGCGUGCCUAAUACAUGCAAGUCGAGCGAACGGACGAGAAGCUUGCUUCUCUGAUGUUAGCGGCGGACGGGUGAGUAACACGUGGAUAACCUACCUAUAAGACUGGGAUAACUUCGGGAAACCGGAGCUAGUACCGGAUAAUAUUUUGAACCGCAUGGUUCAAAAGUGAAAGACGGUCUUGCUGUCACUUAUAGAUGGAUCCGCGCUGCAUUAGCUAGUUGGUAAGGUAACGGCUUACCAAGGCAACGAUGCAUAGCCGACCUGAGAGGGGGAUCGGCCGCACUGGAGCUGAGACACGGUCCAGACUCCUACGGGAGGCAGCAGUAGGGAAUCUUCCGCAAUGGGCGGAAGCCUGACGGAGCAACGCCGCGUGAGUGAUGAAGGUCUUCGGAUCGUAAAACUCUGUUAUUAGGGAAGAACAUAUGUGUAAGUAACUGUGCACAUCUUGACGGUACCUAAUCAGAAAGCCACGGCUAACUACGUG